GAGGGCUUUUCAUCUCACUGCUUGUGGAGAUGCUGAGAUGAACACUUUUUGGUUCACUUUUAUCACUCCAUCUCCUGUCUCCUGCUCUGAGUAAGCAAUCUACGUUUUUGUGCAGCCUCUGGCCACAGGCUGGCUCAUGGAGGUGUGUCUGCUGGCAGAGGCUCCCAGGAGCUCAGUGCUCCUCAGGUGAGGUGAGGUGUGGUCCCGCGGGUUGUUAGGGAAGUUCAGCGAUCUGAACUUAGAUUCGCGGAGCAAAAUAUUUUACCUCCUCGUAGUUUGCCUUUCCAUAUCUUGCCCCUCACGGCAAAUUUGGCAAGCACGCUACAAAGUGGCUUUAAAAAGCUGUCUCUGAAAAGCAAUGAGAAGCUGCAAAGCUCUUAAAAAGUCUCUGAAUUUGGGAUAUGUAAUCCAAAUUCAGUAGCUAUAAACUAAGCAGCCAUGACUAUCCCCAAACAUUUCGUCUAGUCUGUCCCACUCAAAGUAGGUCCACGCACAACAGCAACAUGGGAGCUUUUCAGAAAUGGAACUGCUCAGCCCCUCCCUCCAUUUAUCCAAUUAGAACCUGUGCUUCACCACUCCCCAGGUGAUUUCCAUGCACGUUCAAAUUUGAAAAGCAUUGGCCCAGGUAGCAUCCUUAAUGACUUUGUGGCAUCCUUAAUGACUUGGAAGAAAUAUUUCACAAAAUAUUCGUCAUGGCCGCUUGUAUUUGAAUCUUGCCUCCAUCCACCAAAAGACAAUGUCAUACUUUGUUAAGCUCUCGAGGGAGGAUCAUGGAGACAGCAGGAAGGAGCCAACAAACACUCAGCUGGUCUUGAGGGCAGUGGCCAGCAGAAGUCCAGGACUGUGUAGAAUAUCAGUGGGCUUUGGGGCGCCUGGGUGGCUCAGUCGGUUAAGCCUCCAACUUCAGCUCAGGUCAUGAUCUCACAGUUCAUGAGUUCAAUUCCCUCCUCAGGCUCUCUGCUGUCAACACUGAUUCAGAUCCUCUGUCCCCCUCACACUCUGCCCUCUCCCACUUGUGCUGUCUCUCUCAAAAAUAAACAUUAAAAAAUAUUUUUAAAAAAAGAAUAUCAGCUUUGAAGAAGGUCCAGAAUAUUGACACUGACCCAGGAGUCCUGGCAGGGACUCAGAAGAGUAUGCAAGGCUUGAUAUCAUGUGUCUAGAAUGUUCCACUAACCUCUGGGGUCUCUGCCAAACUUAGGCCUCACAGAAAAGCAGCAUUAAGGUGUAAAGGUUCUGUUAUGGGCUGUUUGUGUCCCUCCUAAAUUUAUAUAUUGAAGCCCUAACUUCCGGUAGCAUAGUGUUAGGAGGCGGGGCCUUUAGGUAAUAAUUAGGUAUAGAUGAUGUCAUGAGGGUAGAAUCUCUAUGAUGAAACCAGUGUCUUUAGAAGGAGAGGAUGAGACUAGGGCCUUCCUCUGUCUCUCUGCCAUGGGAGGAUACAGGAAGAAUGCAGCUGUCUGCAAGACAGGGAGAGGGUUCUCAUCAGAACGAGACCAUGCUGGCAUCCUGAUCUCACACUUGUAGCCUCUAAAACCGUGAGAAAGAAAUUGCUGUAAUAUUCAGCUGGCACACUGGUACCAUACCAGUUAUUAAAAUAGGGAAAUACUUCCAUACUGGUUGGUAAAUAGUGGGUGUCCUGAAACCUCCAGGAGCCCCCUCUCCCAACUCCUGACAUAACCACCCUCAGGACCCUCAUGCAAUAACUUGAGGGUCAAUAUUUGGCAUGGCAGAGAACUUCAGUUCUCCAUCCAUCCAUUCCAGUGCAGUCUGAUCUGAAAGUAAUCUCUACAAGCAAUGUGGGGCUCGAACUUAACAACCCUGAGAUCAAGAAUGGUAUGCUGUACUGACUGAGCCAGCCAAGUGCCCCCAGGAGACACUUAAUGAAUACUUUUGAUGCUAGAAAUGAAAAAAGGUUAGAUAUUGUUAUUGCCACAUUUUACUUCAUUAUGAUUAUGGAACUUAAUUUUGCCACAAGACAAGAGUAAGCAGUAGCUAUUUCCUUUGACAUGUCUGAUUGAACUUCUUUGUAUAUCACCUAACUCAACAUUAAAAUAGGUGUUAAAUAAAUGCCUUUGCAUUUUACAACUGAAGCCUUCACAAUAUUUCUAAUGGUGAUUAAGUAGCGGGUCUAAUUAUACAUCACAUCCAUUACUCUAAUGCUCCUUUAGCUCUAAAGCUCUAUGAUGCCACAGAAUCAAGAACAAAGCUUGCCACAGUUAAAGAGCACACUCUGAAGCUUCACAUGCUGGCAAGAGACUGCUUCUCAGGUGCUUUUCCAAGUAGCUUCACUCUCAGCAUCUAUUUUCUGUUGUGAUGAUGAUUUAGUAAUAGCCAGUGUCUUUAUGGCAGAUCAUGGAAAAAAAAAGUAAUGUGUGUUUGUUUGGUUUGCGCUGUUUAUUUAGGUCUCCAAUUCUCCAAUUCUCUCCCAAAGCAGGUGAGGGCUUUGCUUCAACCACAGUAGUCAUGGUCAACAUGGAAGGAGUUCUCUUGGGGAUUUUAUCAACAAACUUUCCAAUUUGCCUUACUAACAAGGAGAAGGCAGUGUGAUGGGAGUAGUGCCCCAGUUCUACUGUGUCUUCUUAAGCACUGCUCCGAGGUAGUAACAAGGGAUGUGGGGGAUGGGUUUGUAAGACAAGCCCCUCCAGUUCCCUUUCAAAUUCAUGGUCUCAGGCAGCUUUGGUAGUGUUUAAGUAGGGACCUUCAUUUGCUGAUUCAUAUAAGAACGAUAUUCUUAUUCUCAAAGGCAAGAGAUUGCUAUUUCAAGAAACAAAGGCAAAACAAAGCAAAAAAAAAAAAAAAGGCAGGUUUUUUUUUGUUGUGGAAAUCAGUUAUUUAUUAGCCAUGAUGGCUAAUGGCAGGACGGAAAGGAAUCUGAAAGACCACCUUAGAUUUUACAUCACAGAUUUAAAUUAUAUUUUAGAAAGAAAUUAAUGGAACGAGUUUGCCUCACAAUCCAGUGGGUUAGAUACAUAACUGUUUCAUAUUCCCAGUCACACAAUUCACCACACACACAAAAAAAGACAAUAUUCUAAGUGUUCCAAAUAAGACAACAAAAUAGAAAACUUACUAAAUCAUAAAAUCCAUUUUGAAUUUGGCGAGACCUUAAAGAACAUUGUGGUAUGUGUUACGGAUACCUAACUCACAAUCAGAGACAGGAAGUCAUGAAGGGAGAGCUGUCACACACACCCUACUCAUUGCAGCUUACAUAGUCCAGCAGGAAGAAGGAAGAUUUCCUCUCAACCUGGCAACUGCCCUUACCUGCAGCCAAUAAGAGGCCACCUCCACUUCUAAACUUUCUCCUCUCUAUAAAAGGACACUCCUCCUGUGUUCUCUGUAUUUACAAUGAACUUGGAAAAACCACUCUCCAAACUGGAAAUGAAUCUCUGUCCUGAUAUUGGAGCUACACUUUAGAUGUUCAACCUCACUACCAUUAGUUUUUUCAUGUUCUUUUAUUUAUUUUUAUUUAUAUUUUAGUUAGUUAAUAUACAGGGCAAUAUUGGCUUCAGAAGUAAAAUUCAGUGAUUCACAACCUCACCACCAUUAAACAGCCCCUACCUCAGAGUACUAAAACAGUUCAAAUAGUGAAGGUCUCCAAUAAACCUCAACAGGUUUCCUUCUGCUUAGACCCUCAAAGAUAUACCACCUUUCCUCCUUAGUUCCUCCACCAUAUUGAUUUAUUUGGGCCAAGAUUUUUUAAAAAAUAUAUCAUGCUAGAAGUUCUUUCUCCUGAAAAGGAGAAAUAGUUCUAGAAUUUCAGAGCAGCAACCAAAAUAGCCAACUAGGUAAAUCCCAUGACCCUCAGUAUCUUUUAUUUGCUCUGACCCUGAUGGCCCUUAGAACUAAUUCCAAGAACAGUAACCAUUUGUCCCCUUUGGAUGAGCUACCACCCUCCUUAUGGGUAAAUCCUCAGCUGAUAUUGACAGAAUCCAGUGUACCUCCUACUAAGAUCCAAAUAGAUCCCUCAAAAGCUCUCCCCAUAAUUUAUUAAUAAAGAGGCCUCUCAAGACAUUAAGCAAUAAUAAAAGACCAUAAGGGUCAGAGCCCCAUUAUCCCCUGUACCUAUCCCUGCAACACUUGUAUUUUACCUGUGAAGAAACCAAAGGGCCAUAGAUAGAGGCUUGUCCAGGGCUUCCAAGCUAUAAACAUUAUUAUAAUCCCUCACCAUUCUAUUGUCCCCAACUCUCACACUUUAUUAACCCCCAACCCUACUGAGAGCAAUUUUUUUUCAUGACUGAUUUAUGUAGUGCUUUCUUUAGUGUUGCAGUAGAUAAAGCUGGUCAAUAUCUUCUUGCUUUUACUUGGGAAGGAUAGCAAAGCUACUGAGCAGUAAUGCCAGGGUUUCAUGGAAAGUCCUUCUUAUUUCUCACAAACAUUAAAGGCUGAUAUCAAGUUCCCUGGAGGCUCCACUUUAAUACAAUAUGUGGAUGACUUCUCUGCUUCUCUUUCCAAGCCUCCUCACAAGAAGAUAGCAUCUAUGUGCUAAAACUCCUAGCCAAAAAGGGAUACACCAUCUCUAAGGAGACAUUACAAUUUGUUCAAACUCAAGUUCAAUAUUUAGGACAUCUAAUCUCAGAACAAGGACUUCAUUUGGAUCCAGACAAUUUUCAUGGCAUCCUGAACUUCCCAAAGCCUCAAACCAAAUGUCAACUGUGAGGUUUUCUUGAAUUGACAGAUUAUUAUUGCAACUGUAUCCCAAACUUCUCCUUAUGGCCCAACCUUUAUACACCUGACCCUAUCAUCUAGGAAGAUCCAGAUGACAUAACUUUCCAAUGUCAAAAGAAAGUUUAAUAAAGCCCCUUGCUCUUGAACAUCCAAAUUAUCAGCUCCCUUUCUCCCUUUUUGCAUACAAAAAAGAAAGGAAUGCCUGAAGCCUGGGCAUAUGCCCUCCCUAUGCCUCCCAGCUUCACCUGCUACUUACUGUCUUUUUUUGUGAAGGCCACUGAGAAAACAGUCUUUGCAUCCCCUUUGCUGUGAAAGCUCUCCUUACCUUUCGUCACACUCAGUUUCUUUCUAUAGGCUAUCUCACCUCCUAUGAAAUUCUACUGUGUACCGCCCCUUAUGUUACUUUUGCUUGUUGUAAUAACCUUAACCCUGACACUCUUCUCACCUCCUCUACCAAUUAAACCACCCAUAACUGCUUAAUACUGACAGAUCACCUUCUUGCCCACAUGAUGACUUACAGGAAACUUCUUUGGAUAACGGUUGACUUUUCAUUGUUCACUGAUGGUUCUUAGUUAAAAGAUGAAAAUGGCAAAUACUGUGUUGGGUAUGCAACAUCAACUCCUUCUGAAGUAACUGAAGCAGCACCCUUGCCUUUGGCUACUUCACCCUAACAAGGAACUACAAUCACACACAUGGGUCUAUGUUCCAGCCAAAGGCAAAACUGCCAGCAUUUACACCAACAGUAUAUAUGCCUUUGGAGUGGCUCCCAAUUUUGGAAUGUUAUGGAAACAAUGUGGCUUCUUUACUUCCAGUGAAGAUAAAAUUAAAAGCAGCCCUUACAUUCAGGAAUUACUGGAUGUCAUACUCUUACCUGCUGCUUCGGCUAUUAUUAAAAUCCUGGAGCAUUAUAAACUUGACUUUCUGGAAGCUAAAGGAAAACAUCUCACUGACAUUUCCAUUUAAAAAUGCUAUCCUCAAAGGGUCUAGAAGUCAAAUCUCUGUCAUGGUGCAAAGGAACUCACGUCCAGAGAAUAAUCUGGAGAAACUGACUAGAGACACCCAACAGUAAAACAAGAUUGGCAAUCAAAUGGUUGUUAGUAUGAUAAGAAGAGAA